rnacentral:rRNA from 1 species
AGCGGGAAAAGCUCAAAUUUAAAAUCUGGCAGACUUUGUCUGUCCGAGUUGUAACCUAGAGAAGUGUAACCUGUGCUGGACCAUGUACAAGUCUCCUGGAAUGGAGCAUCACAGAGGGUGAGAAUCCCGUCUUUGACAUGGACUACCAGUACACUGUGGUUGCACACUCAACGAGUCGAGUUGUUUGGGAAUGCAGCUCUAAAUGGGUGGUAAAUUCCAUCUAAAGCUAAAUAUUGGCGAGAGACCGAUAGUGAACAAGUACCGUGAGGGAAAGAUGAAAAGAACUUUGGAAAGAGAGUUAAACAGUAUGUGAAAUUGUUGAAAGGGAAACGCUUGAAGUCAGCUGCGUUGGCUGGGGAUCAAGCCAGCUUAUUUGCUGGGUGUACUUCCUGGUUGACGGGUCAACAUCAGUUUUGACCAUCAGAGAAAGGCAAAGGGAAUGUGGCACCUUUUAGGUGUGUUAUAGCCCUUUGUUGUAUGUGGUGGUUGGGACUGAGGA